rnacentral:rRNA from 1 species
ACUUAGUGCAAUGCGGGUGAGUAAUGUAUAGGAAUCUACCUAGUAGUACGGAAUAAUUGUUGGAAACGACAACUAAUACCGUAUACGCCCUACGGGGGAAAAAUUUAUUGCUAUUAGAUGAGCCUAUAUUAGAUUAGCUAGUUGGUGGGGUAAUAGCCUACCAAGGUAAUGAUCUAUAGCUGAUCUGAGAGGAUGAUCAGCCACACUGGAACUGAGAUACGGUCCAGACUCCUACGGGAGGCAGCAGUGGGGAAUAUUGGACAAUGGGCGAAAGCCUGAUCCAGCCAUGCCGCAUGAGUGAAGAAGGCCUUUGGGUUGUAAAGCUCUUUUAGUGAGGAAGAUAAUGACGGUACUCACAGAAGAAGUCCUGGCUAACUCCGUGCCAGCAGCCGCGGUAAUACGGAGAGGGCUAGCGUUAUUCGGAAUUAUUGGGCGUAAAGGGCGCGUAGGCUGGUUAAUAAGUUAAAAGUGAAAUCCCGAGGCUUAACCUUGGAAUUGCUUUUAAAACUAUUAAUCUAGAGAUUGAAAGAGGAUAGGGGAAUUCCUGAUGUAGAGGUAAAAUUCGUAAAUAUUAGGAGGAACACCAGUGGCGAAGGCGUCUAUCUGGUUCAAAUCUGACGCUGAAGCGCGAAGGCGUGGGGAGCAAACAGGAUUAGAUACCCUGGUAGUCCACGCUGUAAACGAUGAAUGUUAAAUAUGGGGAGUUUACUUUCUGUAUUACAGCUAACGCGUUAAACAUUCCGCCUGGGGACUACGGUCGCAAGAUUAAAACUCAAAGGAAUUGACGGGGACCCGCACAAGCGGUGGAGCAUGUGGUUUAAUUCGAUGCAACGCGAAAAACCUUACCACUUCUUGACAUGAAAUAAAACCCUUUUUCA